AACGAACGCUGGCGGCAGGCCUAACACAUGCAAGUCGAACGCCGUAGCAAUACGGAGUGGCAGACGGGUGAGUAACACGUGGGAACGUACCUUUCGGUUCGGAAUAACUCAGGGAAACUUGAGCUAAUACCGGAUACGUGCGAGAGCAGAAAGAUUUAUCGCCGAAAGAUCGGCCCGCGUCCGAUUAGCUAGUUGGUGAGGUAAUGGCUCACCAAGGCGACGAUCGGUAGCUGGUCUGAGAGGAUGAUCAGCCACACUGGGACUGAGACACGGCCCAGACUCCUACGGGAGGCAGCAGUGGGGAAUAUUGGACAAUGGGCGCAAGCCUGAUCCAGCCAUGCCGCGUGAGUGAUGACGGCCCUAGGGUUGUAAAGCUCUUUCGCCAGGGACGAUAAUGACGGUACCUGGAUAAGAAGCCCCGGCUAACUUCGUG
rnacentral:rRNA from 1 species